rnacentral:rRNA from 1 species
CCUACGGGAGGCAGCAGUGGGGAAUAUUGGGCAAUGGGCGCAAGCCUGACCCCGCAACGCCGCGUGAAGGAAGAAGGCUUUCGGGUUGUAAACUUCUUUUCUCAGGGCCGAAGAAAGUGACGGUACCUGAGGACUAAGCCACUGCUAACUACGUGCCAGCAGCCGCGGUAAUACGUAGGUGGCAAGCGUUAUCCGGAUUUACUGGGUGUAAAGGGCGUGUAGGCGGGGAAGCAAGUCAGAUGUGAAAACCACGGGCUCAACCUGUGGCCUGCAUUUGAAACUGUUGUUCUUGAGUACUGGAGAGGCAGACGGAAUUCCUAGUGUAGCGGUGAAAUGCGUAGAUAUUAGGAGGAACACCAGUGGCGAAGGCGGUCUGCUGGACAGCAACUGACGCUGAGGCGCGAAAGCGUGGGGAGCAAACAGGAUUAGAUACCCUUGUAGUC